CAGGCGUCUGGGGUAAGGAGUCGCUGCCAUCAGCUCCACUGAUGAGUCUAGGCAGUAGUGACUCCGAGACGAAACGCAUU
rnacentral:hammerhead_ribozyme from 17 species